rnacentral:rRNA from 1 species
UGGGGAAUAUUGGGCAAUGGGCGCAAGCCUGACCCAGCAACGCCGCGUGAAGGAAGAAGGCUUUCGGGUUGUAAACUUCUUUCUCAGGGACGAAGCAAGUGACGGUACCUGAGGAAUAAGCCACGGCUAACUACGUGCCAGCAGCCGCGGUAAUACGUAGGUGGCAAGCGUUAUCCGGAUUUACUGGGUGUAAAGGGCGUGUAGGCGGGGAAGCAAGUCAGAUGUGAAAACCACGGGCUCAACCUGUGGCCUGCAUUUGAAACUGUUUUUGCUUGAGUACUGGAGAGGCAGGCGGAAUUCCUAGUGUAGCGGUGAAAUGCGUAGAUAUUAGGAGGAACACCAGUGGCGAAGGCGGUCUGCUGGACAGCAACUGACGCUGAGGCGCGAAAGCGUGGGGAGCAAACAGGAUUAGAUACCC